rnacentral:tmRNA from 1 species
GGGGACGAUCCGGUUUCGACGGGAGUGUUGAAGCCCCGGAUGCAUGCCGAGGUGCCAUAGGCCUCGUAAAAAAAUGGCAACUAGUACUCGCCAACAGCGAAUACGCAAUGGCUGCUUAAUAGUUAACUCUAUCUAGCAACCACGUUCCGCCUGGAUUCGCCCGUGAUCCAGGUAGCGAACGUCAUUGAUACGGGCUAGCGACCGAUCUCUCGCAUAUGGAUCGAAAGCGAAAUCAAAGUAUGCGGGGGGUCCAGGGAGCGAGCUGAAGCGCGCCACGGACUCAACUUAAAACUUCAGCUACGCACUGUAGACUCCGGAGGUCGAUCACUUUCGGACGUGGGUUCGACUCCCACCGUCUCCACCA